AUCUGUCCUCCGUCGUUGUCCUCUGUCUUCUGAUGGAGGGGAGCGGCAGACGGGAGAGUAACACGUGGGAACGUACCCUUUGGUUCGGAACAACCCAGGGAAACUUGGGCUAAUACCGGAUAAGCCCUUACGGGGAAAGAUUUAUCGCCGAAGGAUCGGCCCGCGUCUGAUUAGCUUGUUGGUGGGGUAACGGCCCACCAAGGCGACGAUCAGUAGCUGGUCUGAGAGGAUGAUCAGCCUCACUGGGACUGAGACACGGCCCAGACUCCUACGGGAGGCAGCAGUGGGGAAUAUUGGACAAUGGGCGCAAGCCUGAUCCAGCCAUGCCGCGUGGGUGAUGAAGGCCCUAGGGUUGUAAAGCCCUUUCGGCGGGGAAGAUAAUGACGGUACCCGCAGAAGAAGCCCCGGCUAACUUCGUGCCAGCAGCCGCGGUAAUACGAAGGGGGCUAGCGUUGCUCGGAAUCACUGGGCGUAAAGCGCACGUAGGCGGCUUCUUAAGUCAGGGGUGAAAUCCUGGAGCUCAACUCCAGAACUGCCCUUGAUACUGAGGAGCUUGAGUCCGGGAGAGGUGAGUGGAACUGCGAGUGUAGAGGUGAAAUUCGUAGAUAUUCGCAAGAACACCAGUGGCGAAGGCGGCUCACUGGCCCGGUACUGACGCUGAGGUGCGA
rnacentral:rRNA from 1 species